rnacentral:misc_RNA from 12 species
CCGACGGCGCAUCAGC